rnacentral:lncRNA from 1 species
GCUGAACUGUGAACCUUUUAAGAAAAAGCAAAUAAAACAGACAAUUUUAUUCGCUACAAUUCCAGUAGGACUAAUUCUUGGAGAAAAAGCAGUCUGAGAAGACUUUUCAGAGUCAGGGGCCUGGGGCAGGCAUGGUGAAUGAAAAUGGCCACUCCAGCCCCGAUUCAACAAUAGCCUUCAGUUCACAUAUCAACAAUUGUGAAGAAGAUUUCAGCAGUUGUCAUUGGUUGAUCUGCUUGGUCCUUACUCCAGUUGCAACUUGUGGCCUCCUUUAUUUGAUUACCUCCCCUAAAGAUAAACCGACAUUAAUGUUUCUCCCUUAGGAUAAUAUUAUUUGACUCUUAAAACAAUAUGUAAAGCUAGCCUUUAGUUUGUUACACAUCAUUGUCCCAUCAACCCUUUACGGGGAUGUCCUAAGGGAGGUGAAUUGAUCUUCCAAGCUAUGUGAUGUGCCUGAGACCAGAAUACCCAGAAAUUCCAGAAGGUCGUCACUCUAGCGGGAGACGGAGGUGGCCAACGAAAAAGAAGUCCAUGUCCCAGCAGGCUGAAGUGAAGUAGGAGAAAAUCUCUGGCCGUGGGUCCAUCAGUGACACUCGGCGUCUUUUCUUUCAGAAGAGGGGCUAGAGCAGACAGAACGCUUAGAGGUUGCAAUGGGCAAGAGAGAGGGAAGGAAAGCGACGAC